rnacentral:rRNA from 1 species
CGGGUGCGUAACGCGUAUAGAACCUACCUUUUACAGAGGAAUAGCCUUUAGAAAUGAAGAUUAAUGCCUCAUAGUAUUGAGUAUUCGCAUGAAUAUUUAAUUAAAGAUUUAUCGGUAAAAGAUGGCUAUGCGUCCUAUUAGUUAGUUGGUAAGGUAACGGCUUACCAAGACAGCGAUAGGUAGGGGUCCUGAGAGGGAGAUCCCCCACACUGGUACUGAGACACGGACCAGACUCCUACGGGAGGCAGCAGUGAGGAAUAUUGGACAAUGGAGGAGACUCUGAUCCAGCCAUGCCGCGUGUAGGAAGAAUGCCCUAUGGGUUGUAAACUACUUUUAUACAGGAAGAAACACUGGUAUGUAUACCAGCUUGACGGUACUGUAAGAAUAAGGACCGG